GAACUGUAGAAAAGAAGGUCAGCACGUCCUUAACAGGGAGGAAGAGGCCUCUUGGCUAAACAACACGCAUAUGGUUAAGGUAUCACCACCUCGUUUGUGGCAUCGAACCAUUGUUUGAGUCACCCA
rnacentral:ncRNA from 1 species